rnacentral:rRNA from 1 species
UACGUAGGUGGCAAGCGUUGUCCGGAUUUACUGGGCGUAAAGCGCGCGCAGGCGGCUUGGUCAGUCCGGGGUGAAAUCUCACGGCUCAACUGUGAGCGGUCCCCGGAUACUGCCAGUCUCGAGGUGUCUAGAGGAGAGCGGAAUUCCCGGUGUAGUGGUGGAAUGCGUAGAUAUCGGGAAGAACACCAGUGGCGAAAGCGGCUCUCUGGGGACCACCUGACGCUGAGGCGCGAAAGCGUGGGGAGCGAACCGG